GUGAAUCAAAUCCAGUUCUCUUCUCAGACUAUACCUGGGAACUUUAAAAUUCCAGUGUUUUCUCAGAAGUUGUCUGUAUAGGAUAAUGUAAAAUUCUUUACAUUCUGUUGGCCUGGGAAAUUUUACAUGGCUAAGAAAAUAUAGUAGAAUAAUUGCUCUGCUUCUCAGACUAUAGUAGAGAUUCCUAGGUUAGCAUUAGGUAAUUCAUGUUUCAAGGAUGAAUAUGGUCAUAUAUAUCCAUACAUGCCCAUAUUCAAUUAUUCAUGAUUGUGAGAUAUAUAUAUAUACACACACACACACAUACAUACACACACACACAUAUGAUAUAUAGAUAUAUAAUUGUGAGCAUUUAUAAAAGCAUUAGGUCUGCAGGAUAUUUAAACACUCUUCAUUUGUAACUUGCAUUUUAGGGGGAAUUAUUUAGCUAUGUGAGAUAUCACCAUACUCAGUUUUUUUAAUAUAAUAAACAUGUCUAGUCAAAGAAGGCAUUAAUGAAGCAAUUCCCCAAAUAAAACAGCCCAUGAUAUCUGAGUUGCAGCAGAGAGAGAGUGUGGUCUUUGUAGUUUAAUCAAGAUCACAAGACUUGUUUUGAGCGUCUGUCAUCUUUAAUUUUACAGCACUUCAUUUCAGAGUAGGACUGCCAGGGUCACAUGCAAUUAAAACACAGGCAAGAUUUGUCUUGUGAAAUCUUAACAUAAAAAGUAAUGUGUUACUCCAUUUUAACUUUUUUACUGAACUCCGUGAACUCACUAAUUACUUUUCCCCCCUCUUGUCACCUUUUUGAUAUGACAUGUAUUUUAUAGAGGAGAUAGAAAUUUGGAUUUUUUUAAUAUCAUGCAUAUGAUUGAGGAUAACAAAAUUAAACCAGAGAAAAAAGGAAUGCGUUUUUCAGAAAUACAUUUUUUAGUAAUAUCUGAGUACUCCAGCUUCAAUUACAAAGAACCUCAUAGAUCAAAUUCUAGGAAAUAACUGUUAAUCUGCUUAACUAGGGCAGGUAGAAGUGUAAUAACGGACCAGAGAUUUUACAGAGGCCAGGAUCGUGAACCGGAGUUUAUUCUCUGGGGUGCGGGCAAAAGCGCUUUUAUGUGAUUGGCUGAGAAAAGCAUUAAAAGCCAGUGCCUACGUGGAGAUUUGGAGCACAAGGAGGGUUGUUGCAUCAUAGUGAUCAGUAAAUUGCAUAGACCCUUAUUAACCUUAUUGAUAAGAAGCUUAGGGAAGACCCAGGCAGGUCGCAAUAUAUUCUUCUUUUUGUUCUCCUGUCUGUCUCCGUUUGCAAUCCCAGCCGCUUUGUAUGGAGAGCUUUUACGCAGCACCUGAAAAUUCAAUUUGAACACCUGUGUCCCCUUCUUUUCAAUCUGGGAGGCUGAAAUUGGACAGACACAUCAUGGCAAAGUUGUGCAGCAGCGAUACAAGUAGAUGCUGAAGAAAAGGGAGGAAUCUGAGCGCAGGGAUAAAAUGCUCAAGAAAAUCCCAUUGGUGGAAUGUUUGUGAGAGAAAAAAAAGGAGCUGAAAAGUGAUACACAGUUUACAGCAUUAAAAAAAGGAAAUGUGAGUGCUACCUUUUGUCAGGCCCAAAUGGGAAGAGCAAUGAUCCAUCAACUUAAGUUUAUUUUAGAAACAAUUUAUAAUCCAGUGCUACAGAUGUUGGACCCCCGGAAAAGAAAUCCUCUCAAAAAAGCCUUAUGCUGGGUAAGUUUUUCCCAAAAUGAGCUGAAUUGCUAAUUCAAAGAAAUUUCUUAGUCACAUAAAAUCACAGCCAAAUGACUCGAACUGAAAGAAAACUUUAAUAUACAACUAAAAAUUAAUGCUGAAUUAAGAAGACCAAAGCCUUUAAUAAUAGUUCAGCUCCAAACAGAUUUAUGGAUGUGAACUUUCUUUUAAGUUUGUGCUUUGCUGUUACUAUAGUGACUUGCAAAGUGUGUUGAAAGUCACAUAAUUGCCUGGAGGACAACUCUCCAGUUAUGAAGGUGUAUUAGAAAUGUUCCCCUCUCUAUCUGUGGAAUGCCAUGAUUUUCCAACACACAUAACUUUAGGAUAGUUUUACGGAGUAAGGAGAGUGUGGUGGUAAAUGUAUUCCUGCCAUCAGGUCACACCUGGCUUGCAAAAUAUAGCUCAGCCACUGCAUGUGAAAUGUUAAUUGUGACUUUGACCACUUAACUAAAGAGAGGCUGUUAAAAAUAGAAUAAAUUUUCAAUAUGCUCAACUUAUGUUUCCUAUGUGCUAUAACUAUUUUGGGGGGGAUCUAUGCUAACCAUAUGCUUGCCUACCCUCAAUUUGCACAAACUGUACUGCUAUCUACACUGGCCUUUUUAUAAGAUUGAGGACUUAGCAGAAAUUCCACCUUCUUCUUUAAAGUUAUAGUUGUAUGCCAGAAACAUUCUCAAGUACUGGAAAAGCAGGGGAGCAUUCACAGGUGUUUUUGCAUUUAACAUUAGUGUGUUUCGAGGUGGUCACUCAAAGAUAAUUCAGCCAUUUUUUAUAUGCCAGUUUACAUAUCCAUUAGCUUAAACAAAUUGAAAAGUCUUCAAUUUUAUAUCUAAACAUCAUGUCAUUCUUAUUUUCCAAAACAACUAACAUCCUAAAUAGGGAUUAUUGCUAUAUUCUGACAUUUUUGCUUUUGAAUAAAAGCAAAAAAUUAGCUUUAAAGUUAGGUGUAUAUAAUUUUUAAGUACAUUAUAGCAAAGGAGCGUUAUAUGGCAGUUGAAUUUUGAUAGCUAACAUGGCCAGAUUAUUUGCAUUUAUUGAACCUCUGCAGGAAUUUCAAUGCAGAAGAUUGAAACAUUUUCAAUUAUUCACUUGUUUCAUAUUUUUAUUGAUUGGGCAUUACAGUGAUAUUCUAAAGUAUCUCUAAAGCAAUAUUUAGAAUAUUUAAUAAGAUGUGAGAACUAAAAAGUAAAAAAAUGAAUGGCCCACAGGCUUCAAUUUAUAAUUUAUUUCUUAUUGGAAUAUAUGUUCUGUAAGGUGAUAACAACCACAGAUAAAAUGGAAUAUCAGAACCAAAACCCUGACAUAGUAGAUAAUACCAAAAAGAAACAUUUACAGUAGUUACUGUUUGUUACUAUUAAUACCUUCUAUGUGCUAAUCACUGUGCUUCAAAUAUAUCACAAAUUUUAAAGGCAGAUUUUAAAAUCAGCUUUAAUUUCUUUUUUCGAUGAUAAACGCAUUCUAUUAGAGAAAAUUUGAAAAGUUUAGAAGAGUAUAAUAAACACUGGGAACUCGAUGUAACCAUUUAUUAGUUCAUAAAAAUCUAUUGCGUACUUACUAUGUGUUUGACACUAUUCUGGAUAUUAGGGAUAGUGCAAUGAGUAAAACAGACAAAAUCCCUGCUCAGAUGAAGCUUACAAUCUAGUGGGGAAAACAGACAACAAACCAUACACUAAGCAAUAUACAAUGUGACUUCAGGCCCUGAAAUGCUUCAAGAAAAGCUAAGAAAAAGAGAAGUAAUGGUUCUUCCACUGACCCUAGGGAACUUUAAAAAAACCCUGAUGGCCUGGAAUCCAUUCCCAGAGAUUCUCUUUUAUUGAAUAUUGGGCAAGGCCAGGCUGCCUUCAUUUUUGAAUAGCCCCCAGGUAAUACUAAUGAGCAGAGAGUGGUAAGAAGUGCUACGUGUAUUAGACGGAGUGCUCAGGGAAGCCCUCUCUAAGGAAGGGAGAUUUGAGCAGAGUCCUGUCGAGGUGCACAUAUCAGGGGAAAAAGUGUUCUGGGCGGGGAAUGGUAGGUACAAUACCCUGGUGGUGAGGAAUGCAGAGCACAGUCUGGCUGGAGGCCAGGGAGCAAAGGGAAAGAGGUAGGAAAUGCUGCGGAGGGACUUAGGGGUCAUGGUAAAAAUCUGGGACUUAUUUCUAAGGGUGAUGGAAAUCAUUUCUUUGGGUUCGAGCAGGAGAAUGACACUGUUAGCAUUUAGAAAUGAUAGAAAUGUUUGUAUAAUGUAUCUACAUACAACUUUGAGAAAAUGCACUUUAUAUAAUUCUGUAUCUGGCAUUUUUCACUUCUAACAGGAAUAAUUCCUAUGACUUAUAUAUGGAAUAUAUAUCACUUCAUCAUUACCUUAUAUGGAAGAGAAUGAAUUGUGCCCUAUGCUUUCGUGGUAUAAGUGAGAUAAAGAAAUAAAACCUUCCCAUGUACUCUUCCUCCACAUUUUGGAGUAUUUUUUUAGGCAGUGGUUUCCCAUUUAGGAGCAAUAUUGUACCCUGUCCCAAGCCCCACCCCUCCACCUAUGAGAGAUUUGGCAAUAUCUGGAGACAGUUUUGAUUGUCAUGAGCAGGUGGGGUGGGAAAUUGCUACUAGUGUCUAAUGGGUAGAGGCAAAGGAUCCUGCUAAACAUUUUGUAAUGCACAGGCAGCUCUGAUGACAAAGAAUUAUCUAGCCCCAAAUGGCAAUAAUGCUGCAGAUGAAGACCCCUGCCUUAGUGUAAAAUAAUAGAAAUGUAACAAUUCGAUCCGUGGUUCUCAAACUUUACCCUUCAUGAAGAUAAUUUGGAAGGUAUUAAAAGGCAGGUUGCUGGGCUCCACCUCCAGAUUUCUGAUUCAGCAAGUCUGGGGAGAGGCUUGAUAAACAGCAUUCCUGUCAAGUUCCCAAGUGGUAACAGUACUGCUGGUCUGGUUGGGAACCACAUCUUGAGAACCAGCACCAGAUUAUCAAGUUAUGGCUCUUUUUUCCUUAAAACAUAACAUGUGGGAGGGCCUAUUAGUCCUGUUAGCAGUAUUAUAAUUUGGUAUUAUUCUUUUUAAAAAUAACUGCCAUACAUGAAAAAUAGUCUGUCAUUCUUUGAACUUAGGAUUCUUUGAAUUUAGGAAAUGGGGAAGAAGUUAAUAAAGCAAACAAGCAGUCAUGUGUGUUUCCUCUCCUGUGAAUAUCUCCUGCCCUCUUUCCUAUUUAGAGUGUAUACUUUUAUGUUUGUUUGUUUAACCCAUUUUAUUUUGUACAGCAAAACUAAUACAUGGUCUUUUGGGAAAAAAAAAGUACUAAUCAGAAGUAUUGAAAAGUAAAAAGUAAAAACCUCCCCUGUUUCCUAGUCAAAUUUCUUCAUAACUAUAAUUAACAGAUGGGUGUUCCUUCUGGAUGUUUUUCUACUCAUCUAUCCAUCUACCUGUUUUAUAUAUAUUUAUAUAUAUACACACACACAAUUAUAUAUAAAUAAUUUUUUUCCUUUUUAGAAAAGAUGAAAUAAAAAAUACAUAAUGUGCUAUAAUUUGCUUUUCCCCCCUUAACUAUAUAUCACGGGCAUGUUUCCGAGUCAGUACAUAUAAAAAUACCUCAUUCUUUUAAAAAAGUUGUUAUAUUUCAUAGUAUGGAAAUACCUUAAUUUAUCUAACCAUUUCUCUGCUGGUUGGUUUUUAGGUUGCUUCUUCUAAUUCUUUGCUAUUACAGACAAUGCUACAGUAAAAUCCUUGCAUAUGUAGAUUUCUAAGUUUCUUUAUGUCUUAAGAGUAACUUUUCAUUACUUUUGUGGCACAUACAUUCUCCCAAUUCUUGUGUUUCUUAAUUUUAUUUACUUAAGUUCUUAUGUAGUGAUAUCUAGUACUAUUUCUUUUGGAUUUUAUCUUUGUUUUUAUUACUAUAAAAUCCAACCAUUUAAAGAGAUCAGAUAACUAUUAUCAAAGUCUUGUUUUUAAAAAUGAUUUUAGAUUUUAAAAGCAUAUCAUCUAAUUCAUUGUAAAUAUUUUUGUUGUGUGAAAUUUGAUGGUACUCUGAAUUUACUUUUUUUCUGGAAACCAGCUGAUUUUCCCUAUGACAUUUGUUGAAUAAACCACCACUCUCCAUUGAUUUGUGGUACUGCCUUUUUUGUGCAGAUUGCCUGCAGUCAGCCACACACCCUGGUAUACGGUACUGUGCUGAUAAUCUCUAUGUAUGUAUGUAUGUAUGUAUGUAUGUGUAUAUAUACAUAUAUUUUCUUUUUGAGACAGAGCCUCACUCUGUCACCCAGGCUGGAAUGUAGUCGCAUUGUCUCGGCUCAAUGAAAUCUCCACCUGCCAAGUUGAAGCGACUCUCAUGCCUCAGCCUCCCAAGUAGCUGGGAUUACAGUCACGCGUUACCAUGCCUGGCUAAUUUUUUGUAUUUUUAGUAGCGACGGGGUUUCCCUAUAUUGGCCAGGCUGGUCUCAAACUCCUGAUCUAAAGUGAUCUGCCCAUCUUAGCCUCCCACAGUGCCGGGAUUACAGGCGUGAGCCACUGUGCCCGGCCUCUGUGUGUAUUUUGAUUCAGUACUCUGCUGUUUAAAUCACUGUAACUUUACUGUAUAUUGGGAUAUUUCUCUUCCCAUUUUUUUUUCUUUUGUUUAGACGUAAGAGAAAAUUUUCAGGUGAACUUUUUCAGAUGAACAAAAUGACCCUGAGAAAGACUGAAAAUUUGAUCCAAGCCACACAGGCAGUAAGUGGCAGAGCCUAGAUUAAGAUGCAGAUCUUUAUUACUCUGUGAUAUAAAUGUAUUUUCUGCAAGUAGCUAAGAUCCAAGAAUUCUGAGUUUGACAUCAAGAGACUUCUUAAUGGAGAGGCCUGAGACCUGAGGAAGACUUGGGAAAAAAGUGAGUCAGAGUCAACAAGAAGUCUUGGGUGACAUAUUUUGAUUUUUUAAUCACCUAAUUCACAUCCAAGGAUAUAUCUGCACAGAUAAGAAGGGUGUUCAGAUGGAAGAAAAACCAAAUUAACAUGUAUUACCUUUUUUCCAUAUUCACACAGAUUUAAAAACUUCUGAAAGCAUUCAUAUCUCAUUGUAAAUGGAAAUGCCCUAUUAGCACAAUGAUUAUUUCAGUUAUCUUUUUUUUUUAGGUGUUUUUCCUCAUGCUUUUAAAAUGGUUUUAGCCAUUUGCAUUUAACUGUCUCAGCAGUAAAAGAAUUCUUAAUUUUUAUUCCCUGAGCUCUGCUGAUACACCAAUAACCACUGAUAAUAUCAACAUCCUGGGAAGGCAUCGCUCUGCAUUUAGGGGAGAAAGGCUAGCAAAUAUAUUAUGUUGGGAGUACUUUAAGAAAUAAAAAAAUUAUAAGACUGUCAUUAUUUUCUACCUGAAUUUGUCCAAUAUAGCUAUUUAAAAACUAGUAUGUGCUAGUAAUAUUUUAGACAGAACUUUGAGUGUUGUGCAUGGAUCAGCAUUAAUUAAGCCAAGCAGAAUAAUGCACCUAAUUAUAAGUUAUUAGUGGAGUAUAUAGUACUUAAAUAUUUGCCUUGUGACGUUAGAUAAACAUAAAAGGAAUAUUUUCAGUAUGCAAAGUAUUCCUCAACUUCUCUUUUGUUUUUCCUUUUUAUAUAGGUGAAGAGAAGAGCCACUUUACUUUUCAUUAAGGGCACCUACAUAAAAUCUUUAGCAGUUUCCUUGAAAAUUGUCUCCUUGUUUAAAUGACUGAAAAAUAGUCAAAGGAGAAUCAGUUGCAAUUUGGGUAUCAUCAUUCAAUUUGUAUGCGCUUAAUCUUACUUUCUGAGGAAAAAUAAGUUUUAGAGUUUUUUUUUUGAGAUGGAGUCUCACUCUGUUACCCAGGCUGGAGUGCAGUGGCAAGAUCUCAGCUCGCUGCAACCUCCGCCUCCCGGUUUCAAGUAAUUCUCCUGCCUCAGCCUCCCAAGUAGCUGGGAUUAUAGGCACCCGCUACCACACCCAGCUAAUUUUUGUAUUUUUAGACAGGGUUUCACCACGUUGGUCAGGCUGAUCUCAAACUCCCUACCUCAGGUAAUCUGCCUGGCCCUCCAAAGUGCUGGGAUUACAGGUGUGAGCCACCACACCUGGCCAGUUUUAGACACUUUCUGCAGUGACUUUAAGAGGGACACAGUAAAACUAGUGAGCACCAAGGUGAAUGUGCCCAGAGAGUGGCUUCUAAACGGAAGAGCGCAGGAACUGAAGGUGUUUGGUUAGUGGGGGGGAAAGAAUAUUUAGGGAAGUCAUGAUGACUCAAUGCAAAAAGCCAUGAUGUGAAAGAAAGAAUAAACUUUCCUCUUGUAAUCCAGUUACUGGAAUUGGCCCAGAGAUGGAUUUUACCUUUGUAUGAAGAAUUAAUGUUGUAAAAAUAGAAAAGACUGCUUCAAAACAGUAAUGCAUUUACAUAUACUACAGAAAAUUUAGAAAAUGCAGACAAAGAUACAAUAAGAAUCCCUCAUAAUUCUACUACUUAGAUAUUACCACUAUUGAUAUUUGGUGUAGAUCUCUCCCCCCCCCCCCCCCAUAUAUGCUGGCAAAGCAUUGGGAGCACCUAUUAAAGAUAUUAAAUAUUUUAUACCAAAAAAAGGCUAUGAGUUCCCCAUCAAGAGAAGUAUUCAGGCAGGAUGUUUGAGAUUCCUGUAUUGGAUGGAAGGUUGAACAAUCUUUGAAGUGUGGUUUGGGCUGCCGGAUUAAUGAUGAAAGAGUGAGCAUUCUGGGAAAGUCAAAGUAUCAUCUGGAGAUAAGAUGAGAUAGUAGAUAGUGACUGAGCCUUCUUUUCUACCCUUCCUUGUACAUUGGGUCUUUCCCCAAGGUUCAGUCAGCAACACUGUGCCCUCAGUUCAGGGGUGAUGCAGAAAAGCAGAAGUGCUUUUAAUUUUUGCAAGGCAAGGCAGUUGAGUUGCAAAGGACUGUGUUUUUGAGUUUCAAAAGCCUAAGUGCCAAAGGCCUCAGAGCUGCAGCCAAAAUAUGGAUGGCAUGAUCAGUAGAUUGGAAGGUAGAUAAAGAGCCAGGCUGCUUUGCUGCCAGGCUAGAGAAAGAUUUUUCUGGACUUGGGGAGGGAGGGUCUAGGAAAGGUGGGACUUUGAUGAGGUCCCAUGUAAGUGGCCCAGGCCCUGGUUCUUGCUAAUCCCGUUCCCUGGGAGUGCAGGCUGUUAGAAGGCUUGAGGAUCCUGAGAAUCAGACAGAUCUGUAUUCUUCUCUUUGGGGAAGACCUAGUAGUAUGGCAGGAUUCCAGAGCUGCCUACACCUAGUAUAUCAGGAGCAGUUAAGUAGAAAUUGCUGCUUUGUAUAUCUAGGCAGGGUGGCCAAAGAUAGCUCACAGAGUACUCUGUGAAGAGUGACUGAGAUCCAGACCUGGGAUUGGAAGUUGGGGAUGAUGACUGCAAAUGAAAAGGGAAUGAAGACCAGCCUGCAGAGGUGGGAAAAGCUAGACACUUUCUCUGCUGCUAAUCUGCUUUAUUAUCUUUCUCCAGCAGAAUAUAAAUGCCGUAAGCACAAGGACUUUAUCUGUUUUUGCUUAGUGCUGUAUCCAUAGACUAAGAUUAGUAUUUCGCUCAUGGUAUUAAGUACUCAACAAGUAUUUGUUGAAACGCUGUAUUAAUGGAUAUCCUUUCUGCCCUUCCACCAAAUGCUUCGGCUUUAUCUAGCCCUCCAGAACUAACAACAUCACCAGAAAAAAUCUGGAAGACAGUCUUAACUAACCAAAUUCAAGUCAUUUAGAAGAAUAGGGCCUGAAAAAUAAAUUAAUUUUAAUGUUGCCACAAUAAUUACAUUUCCUGCACACCUAAAUUUCACCCUGAUGGUGGAUUAGGACAUUAGAUCUGUGGAGGAGACUAGUUGGUGUAAUGUAUGAGAGGACAAGAAGAUGAAGGCAAAAAUAAAAAGCGCAACUGUUUGAGAACUUAAGGGCCUGUAAUUGUUCAGUGUGUCUUUCCUUCCCAUAUAUUAUCUGACAAUGAGUUUCCAAACAUGUACCUAAUUUGAACAAAACUGGUGAGAGGAAUUUAGAAUAGAGAGUAAUUUUUAUCUGUUUUAUACUAUGGUUGGAUUGAAGCUAAAGAUAAUGAUGCCAUUUUUUUGGCCAUCUAAAAUUUGACCAUAUAAUUUUAUUUUUGGUAAAAUGCUCGAUGCAUCUGCAGAAAUAUAAACCCUUUCAAAAUGUAUGUAAUACUUUGCUCAAAGAUAGAAAAUAAUUUAUUUUGCAUUUACACAUAUAAAUUUAUCAUCUGUACUACGUUGAAGGAAUGGAUUGUGCCAGUUUCUGCAUAUGUCCCUGUAAAUACGGAUGCUGGGCUAACUCAUGAUUCUAUCGUCCGGUACGUAGAACUGUGAUCACCUGUUCUAAGAAUUUCUACAUGAAAUGCCUCAUCUUUUAGGGACCACUAUCAAGCAUUAUAUUAAGCUUUAUAACAGAAGGCUCUUAGUCUGCUAAGGGGCCAUUCGUACAUUUGUCAAUUUGAUAAUUAUGGUGGCUGCUUUGCUUUCAGAGAUGGGCCACUUAGAUCUCCUUUCAAGGAAGGACUACCUGCAUAGCUGCAGGGAUAGCUGAUGGCUGCCAGCUAUCUUCUUCACGGUUUGCCUCAAUUGCAAUAAGCCUCCUUGCUCAAGGACACUGACUGAUCUGUCAACAUAUAUUUUAUGUUAUGUAUGUAUUUAAGAGACGAGCUUAUUCUGUCGCCCAGGCUAGAGUGCAGUGGCACAAUCAUAGCUCAUUGUAACCUCUAACUCCUUGGGUCAAGCGAUCUUCCCGCCUCGACCUGCUGAGUAGCUAGGACUACAGGUGUGUGCCACCAUGCCCGGCUAAUUAAAAAAAAUUUUUUUGUUUUGUAGAGAUGGGGUCUCACUAUGUUUCCCAGGCUGGUCUCGAACUCCUGGCCUCAGGUGAUCUUCCUGCCUCAGCCUCCUGAAGUGCUGGGAUUACAGGUGUGAGCCACUGCUCUGGCCCCUACUCAGUCAGUCAGUAUAAAGCCUGGACUAUUUCUGCCCACUGUGGGACGACUUUGACAGGCUCUAUGUGCCCCAGAGCUUCCUGUGGGUCUGGCUGAAGCUUUCUUGGGUCUGCACUUCAGUUCAGCUUAUUCCUCUGCCCAAUCCUGUUGCCACCUCCUUCCUUCCACAGGGGUUAACCUUUAACAAUGCCCUGGAUGCCAAACUCUGUUUCAGGGGCUCCUUCUGGAGAACUGAACCCAUGAUUAUUAGCUCUAUGAGUGGUCCCAGAAAGCCAGCAAUAAGAUGGAGAUUUGGAGCUGGGUCACUCGCAGUCUGACUGGCAAUGAGGAGUCCAUCGAUGGUGGCAGGUGGAAUGCAGGCAGGUCCUGGCACAAGGUGGCAGCCCAAUUGUGAAAACUCACCCUGGUGGUGAAUUAGGACAUUAGAUCUGUGGAGGAGACUAGCUGGUGUAAAGUAUGAGGCAUUUAGAAAUAAUAGUGGGAGGUUGUGGAUAGUAACUCCAAGGUCAAUGAAUUGAAGAGCUGUUGCUAAGCAUCGUUGAUAUUCUACAGAAAAGUUGUAUGUGAUUAUAGGGGCCUUUACUCUGUAAAUGAGGGUUGACUAUAGGAGAGUCCAUUACAGAACUAGGCUCACUGAUUGUAAUGGGGAUGCUGAGACACUGGUAAUAGAGGCCAGCUGGUGGGGCUUAAUUACUAGAAGCCAGGUAGAUGCAAUUUUAAUAACAAGUGGCAGGGCUGAGGGGCAGCCAAAGGGGCCCGACUCACAGAAUUAUGAGAUGGUCGCUAGAACAUAGCAUCCUCUGGAACAAAAUAAAUGGGCAGUCAGGAAGGAUGCUAUUCUCUGUAUAUCAUUGUAUUUGAAUGAUAUAUCAAAUCACUGUCUUCUAAGCUACUGUUGCUUUCUUGCCACGUGAAGCUUCUUGGGUCCAGGCACCAGCAGUCAAGGCAAAGAGUCACCAUCUAGGCAGGUAUAAUUAACUGUGAUCAAAGGGCGGAGGCAAGGUUGCUGUUACACCAGGGGGACAGAGUGGCACCCAGAUGAUCCACAUAGGGCUUCCAAGUUCUCUGUUGCCCAGUUGUGAUGGGGCAUUAACAGGGCAGAAAUUCUUGUCUGAGAAGACAUGGUAUACAGGAGCUUGGAUCUCCCAUGGAUGAGGGUCUGGGACAUUACAUUAGGGCAGCCACCACGACCAGCAGAGGCCAUUGUUGAGGAUGAGGGGAGUCUCGAAUAGAGAGUGGAGGAUGGAGACAAUGAGCUGGGCUCAGGUCCAGCUGUAGCUGCAGAGCUUGUAGUUCAUCCUUCUAAAGCUUCCCCUUCAAAGAUCUCCUCUCUCCCUGAGAGUCCUGGGGGAGCUGCUUCUCAAAUGAACAUGAAGAACACACUCCGAGCACCACAAAGGGUGGACUGUGCUGGACCCUUGAUGUGCUACCCAGGUCUCUCUUUGAGGAAAGACUUGUUGCCCAGUUUCCAAGUGUCAAGUCCGCAGGCAGCUUCAGCUGUCAGCCCCUGCAGGGUUUGCCUCAGCUGAAGAGAGCCACCUCACCCCAGGGGACUCUUGGAGACAGCCCACGGCCAAUGACUGAUCACAGUGAGUGUAUCAAGGCCAAGCCAUCUUCAUCCUCCCGGAGACAACUGUGAUGGGCCCUGGAUGCCCCAGACCUUCUGUGGGUAGCCAGGCUUUGUCCAGCCCAAUGUCAUAGUUUGACUUCUCUUUCUACCCCAUGCUGCUCCAUCUUUACUUCUGUUGGUGUUAAUAGGUAACUGGCGCCAUGUUAAAUCUAACCUGUGACAGCAACCAUGAGCUCUGGGGAGUCAGAGAAGUUCCAAUAGAAAUAGAGCUGGUUCAUGAAAGGGAAGACCUGACAUCUAAUGUGGAGCCUAGAUCUGAACAGCCUUGUGUUCACGCAUCAUUUCCCUCCCCCUUUGAAUUCAUGCUUAAUUAUCAGCAAAACUGAGAUAAAAUCAUCACGCUAUAUCUGUAUAGUACUUUAUAUUUUCCAAACUUGUUCUGAUCAUUCUAGGGCAGAAAUUCUCUAUUCAGACUGCAUAUUAAUAUCAUCUGUGGAACAUUCAAAACCAUAUUAACCUCUGGGACCCAUCCACAUAAAAUCUGUUGCAAAUGGCUUGCAGUUAGGCCUGGGUACAUUUUAAAAGCUCUGCAUGUGAGUCUCUUCUACCUGGAGGGAAAGAACCAUUGCUCUUGAUCUGGAAGCUCAAAAUCUUAAGUGCUAGUUCUAUAGGUACUGACUGUGAUCUUAGAUGGGCCCUACCAUUUCUCUGAGCCUCAGAUUCUUCAUUUAGAAAGUGAAGUUAAUGGCAAAACUGAUCUCAUAGGUUGUUUUGAAGAUUAAAUUUAAAAAUGUAUGUGAAAACCCUUUGCAAGCUAGAGAAACAUUUUUUUUUUCUUGAGACUGAUUUACGUUCUUGCUGCCUGUGCUGGAGUGCAAUGGCACUGUCCUGGCUCACUGCAACCUCUGCCUCCCUGGUUCAAGCAGUUCUCCUGCCUUAGCCUCCUGAGUGGCUGGGAUUAUAGGCAUGCGCCAUCAUGCCCCACUAAUUCUUUGAAUUUUUAAUAGAGAUGGGGUUUCACCAUGUUGGCCAGGCUGGUCUCGAACUCCUGACCUCAGGUGAUCUGCCUACCUAGGCCUUCCAAAGUGCUGGGAUCAUAGGUGUGAGCCACCACGCCCAGCCAGAAACAUUAAUUUUUAUUAUAUGUGAUUACAUUUCUUUCUGUCAAUUGUUUUAUAAACACGGAAAGGGAGAUUAGAACUCACUGGUUUUCCACUCUGGCUCAGGCUUUUAAUAAAGGAAAGGAAUUGCACAGAGAUUCUGAUUUGGUAGUUCAGGGUUGAGACCCGGGACUCAGAGUUUCUAAAAAGCUUCACAGAUGAGCCUGGUGUGCAGCCAGGGUUAGGGACUUCUUGGUUAAUGAUCUGUCCAAAGGUUACACAGUGCUAAUAAAGUCAAAGAACCAGGGACUCAACUCUAGCCCUUUCCAUGCCUCUCUAGAGUUUUAUCUACUAUUAUCCAUGCUGAGUGCUCUUUCGUGUACAUACUUAUUGUAACAUUGUAUGUUAAUCAUAAAAUAUAAUAAUAGAGAUAAAAGGGAUUUUGAAUUUAAAACAUAUAAAUAUAAUGUGUUAUGAUUAUUAAAUGUUAAAAUAAUUACUCCUAUCCCAUUAGCACUAAAUCAUAUGAUUUGUGUGCUUUUAGUAAGGGGUGAAACUCUGUAGGUAACACAAGCUAUUUUUAAGAUUAUAUGAACCAAGCAUAAAUUAAACAAUGUGACACCAAGGCUGAAAUAAUGUACGCAAGUACUAAAUGAAACGUUUAAGGGAAUUCAAAAUAGAGUAAUGAACUGUUACCUACAGUUCCCCUAUCUUGAACAUGCUGACUUAAUGUGGCAUCAUGAAGGAAGAGAAUGGAAUAAAGAGAGAGAGAAGGAUGCAUAGAGAAAUGAAGAUCAUUUUCGUGUGAUCAUGACCAGGCCAUUCAUAUUUCUCAUAUAGCCUGGAAACAAUUUCAUACUUAUUGGAAGAUGUGACCUUUAAAUGUUCCUUACUUGCAAAAAGACAAAUAUUCUCGGAGCCGGGUGUUAGCUGGUGGACUCAUCUGUCCUGCCUGCCCUUCGAUUGGAGGCCACUGCAGGCAGAAUGCAGACUGGAGUGGAGCAAGUGUGGUACUUAUUUUUUACAUUUCCAGACUUUAGGGUAAGCUCUCUUUGACAGCACCCUGACUUCUUUAACACAGCAAAUCUUUAAUCAGUGUAGAUAUGUUAAAAUGUGAUUUUUUACAGUGAAUUGACCUGAGUUGAGUACUUGAGUUGUAAUGUGUAUUUUUUUCCCCCUCUCAAAAGCUGACUUGUAGGGGAAAAAAAAAAUCAGAUAUUCUAUGAUAUACUUUGCCUUAGUGACAAGAUGUUUUGGGGGAAAUCAUCCAAGCUUGAAAUAAAAUCUUUAUUGAAAGUAAUUCUACAUUCAUGCCAGUCAGAUACAUUGUUGGAUUAGACCAGAUAUCCCAGGGGAAAACUAUGGUAUAUGCAGCAGGCUGAGUUGAUUAUUUGGGCCUCCUGUCAGUUUUUAACUUCCUGACAAUGGCUGAAGCAUUCACGGCCGCUACAACUCUGUUUUCAUCUUUAUUUUGAGAGAAAGUUAAUACACUUUACCUUAACUAUGCCAAAUGUACUGGAAAAUAACCCAGUAAUAAGAUAUACUCCGCCUACCAAGUGAUAUCUGUGUGUAGAGAGCAUUUAGCUGUGCAUCUUAAGGAAACAAAUACACGCAGCAAAUGACUGAAAGAUAUUGUGAUUAUUUUUUCUGCUUGAACUUUAAAAUUUUCUUGGCAAAGCCUCCUGUGUGCUGUCUUAAAACCAGUAGGUAUACAUAAUCAUGGGGCCAAGUAAAAUUUCAUUGCAAAUUCCCUUCAAAUGGCAGGGCAGCUUUUCUUUCCCCAUAUAUUAGAGUGAUUUAGUUAUCAAUGUUAUUUGACAUCAAAAACAAAGACAUAGGUGGGCCAGGUGACAUUUGUUUCCACUUAGAGAAUCAACAACAGCUUAGGAUGUCACUUUUGAAAAGGUCAUAGAAUUGCUUUUUGGACAUAAUUAACAGUGUAACCAAAGAAGAGAGAAAAAGGCAUAAUUUCAAAUUUGGAAUUAUAUUCUGAUUCAUUGUGAAGACAACAUAAUGUUGUAGUUGCAGAGAAAAGAAAGACAUGACCUCUAGUAGAUGUUUGAUAGUAACCACAUUCAUUUGAAAAUUCACAACUUAAUUGUGUAAUUCUCAUCUUUUUGUUAUAUAUUCUAAAAUUAAUUGCUCUCACAUUGCCUAAGAACAGAAGCAAGAAGGUGAAGUGGACUUUGAUUCAAGUUUAAGAACAGAAAUGAUAGUUUAGUAUUGUGUUGCAAAAAAUCACAACGUAUUGCCUCAGACAAGGAAGUCUCAAGGUAAAAAGUAUAUGUGUUCUGAGAACCAUAUUUUCUACCUGAGAAAUAUGUUGGUUAAAAACUUAAGUUUUAAAAUUUUUGUUUUUAAGUUAAAGAUUCUAGAUGUCCUCUGAUAAAUGAAUGGAUAAUGAAUGGAUAAACAGCUGUGGUAUAUCCAUACAACGGAAUAUAGUUUAGCAAUAAAAAGAAAUAAGCUAUCAAACCAUAAAAGAACAAGAAGAAUCUUAAAUGCAUAUCGCCAGGUGAAAGAGGCCAAUCUAAAAACGCUGUAUACUGUAUGAUUCCAAGCACCUGACGUCCUGGAAAAGGCAAAACUUUGGAGACAGAAAAAGAACAGUGGUUGCAGAGGUUUUGGGGAGGGAGGGAGGAAUGAAAAGGUGGAACACAGGAGAUUUUUAGGGUAGUAAAAAACUAUUCUCUGACACUAUAAUGGUGGUUACAUGUCAUUAUACAUUGGUCAAAAUCCAUAGAAUGUACAGUGUAAAGAGUGAAGCCUAAUGUAAACUAUGGACUUUAAUUAAUGUCUCAAUAUUGGCUCAUAAGUUACAACAAAUAUACCACACCAACACAAGAUUUUAAUGAUAGGAGAAAUUGUGUGUAUGUGGUGGGUGCAGAGGAGGUAUAUGGGAAGUCUCUGAUCUUUUUUUUUUUUUUUUUUUUUUUUUUUAAGUUCUGGGAUACAUGAAUACACGUGCUGAGCGUGCAGGUUUGUUACAUAGGUAUACAUGUGCCAUGGUGGUUUGCUGCACCUAUCAACCCAUCAUCUAGGUUUUAAGCCCUGCAUGCAUUAGGUAUUUGUCCUAAUGCUCUUCCUCCCCUUUCUCCCCACCCCCUGACAGGCCCCAGUGGUGAUUCUGAUUAGUUUUUUAAACCUAAAUCUGGUUUGAAAAAUCUAUUAACAAAAAAAAAGUUAAAAAAUGAUAAAGCAGAUAGCAUCCAUUCAGGGCUUAGAGGUCAAUUUACCUGCUCACGUAUCCUUACGGCCACACACAUUUGAGUUGUUUUGCACUUACAUUACUACUAUUUUUAUUGCCACAUUUAUGCCAAUCAUGCUACUCAAAAACAUAUUUAAGCAUGUCUCUACUAGGAAGACUUUUAGAAUCAUAUUCUGAUCACUUGCUUAUUUGCUUUCUUGGCAUUUAAACAUUCAGAUUGUAUUACAUUGUUGUUGACAUGUUUUAUUUUUAUCACUAAGUUAUUUCAUUCACAUAUGUUUUACUCUCUCAAUUAGAUUGCAAACUCUUUGCAUUUAGGUGAUAUGUUACCUUCAGCUUUCCUCCUAUUUCAUUUGUCGUAAAAAAGUUUGGGCAUUCGGUAACUUCUUAUUACAAAUAGUUUUUGUUUUAUGUUUGGCUGACAGAUUAAGCUUUUUCUCACCCAAAAGGGACUGUCUGAACAGAAGUGAGGUACUCCCCAAUAUUUUUCUGUCUGCAGUCAGAACAACGCUGUCAACAGACAUUCAUGUUUGUUAGAUGUUGAGGCUUUUUCUGUGUCAUUUCUCCCUAUGUUCUUCCUAUCUUCUGUGUUUUACUUUCUUUGAAAAAAAAUUACAGAGGAUGACUGGAGGAUAUAAUUUGCAAAUACAACAAUAUAAUGUAACAUUUAGAGGGUUUUUUUUUGAAAAAGGAAUUUGGUAAGUGCAAAAUAUCAUCUGUGGAUGCUCCAUUUUCAAAGGUUUUAUGAGAGUGUGAAAUUACUUUAGGUUAAGGUAUCAAAAAUAGAAUGUGGAAGUCAUGAGGUUCGUGUUGAAAAGUCUUGGUUUCUUACGGGUAAUUUCUACAUAAUCCAAAUAAUAUAUACAGAAGAGAAUGUCUAAAUAAUCUACUUCACUGACAUAUAGAAUUGUGUGGAAAUUCGUGAGGCCAACUGACCCACAAUACCAUAGGAAGUUGGAGAAAAAAGCUGAUUUGACGAAGCUGCUUUUGCCUCAUUACUGCACACCAGUUUUAAUUACUGGAAUGAAAGAUCAACUUGAACAAGGAAACAGAAAGCCUGAUUUUCUCUCCUGGCUUCGCUUCUUACUACCUGUAGUACUUUGGGCACUCACUUAGCCUUGCUCAGCCUCAGUUUCCUCAUUUUGAAUAUCAGACAGUUGGGCAGAAGAAUUUCUAAUUUCCUUGUGCUGCAAAUCCUAUUAACAAUUUUAAACACCUUUUCCUUCCUGUAACUUGAAAUACUUUGCAAGGAAAGUUGACAAGCUCAGAAACACAUUGCAAGCACAGCAAUCAAUUGCAAAAUAAGUGAACCCUAAAAUGUAAAAAGUCUGUAGUAAUCUCUUGCAUAUAUAUGAAUAUUUUAAAUAUACAUUUAUAUAUUAUAGGAUGUUUAUAUGUAUCUUUACAUUUAUUUAUCAAAGUGAUGAGUGAAAUAGAAAGGCAGAAACAAGAUUUUUAAGGAAACAGACAUGAGUCUCCAUCUCUUGGAAGCAUGAGGGUGUGUCUAUAGUCUGAGUUUUUGUUUUCUUACACUUAUAAAAGAAUGGUGGCAUUGGACAAAGAGACCCGCUCUGGGCAGAAGGGAUGGCACACAGAUUUGCUUCACCUGGCUGAUGGUGGCUGCCUGCUCUGUGAGAAAGGACCCUGAAGGUGAAGUCACAGUGUAAAAGGGUGAUAUGAUCAUUCAGUUAUGUCAACAUGGGUUCAGGAAUGGGGAAUGGUGGCAUGUAUGCCAGGAAUGUGCCAUUCAGCAGAAAAGUAAUUUCAAAAGGUAACCAGAUACAUCUAUGGAAGCAACAAAAGGUAUUCCUGGAUGAGAAGGGAUCUGCGAACUUGAGAGGCAAGCUCCUGGGGGUUUUGAGCCACGUUGCCCUUAAGUGACUAUAGAAAGAAGGGAAAAUUUAAAGGAAUAGAGGUAUCAAAGUAGACAAACAGUGACUUUAGGAAUAUAUUAGAAGUAAUUUACAAAGAUAAAUAUUUGAAGCGGAUUUUAGAGAAAUCUAUGUAAAUGGGAUAUGUCUUGGUGAUCCCUUCAGGUGAGCACAUAUAGAUCUGCUUCAUUUUAAAAACAAUAACUUUACAGUAUUCAUAGUAAGUAUUUUUAAAUCCCAGUUCCCAACGGAUGUACAUUUUCUCCCUCCCCAUAUUUUGUUGAUUUUAUAGUCAUGAAAAGAUCAGGCCUUUCCAUGGUUGUAGGUGGAUAUUGAAGACAGAAUCAUAGGAAAACUAUAAUAGUCUCUCAAUGAUUAAAAAGAUGUACUAAUGUUGGUGGUUAAGUGAUAAUUUUAUUGCAAUAGUGAUUAUAAAGAGAGGGGAGAUGUACAAGGAUGCUGAAUAAAGGAGCUUCAGUAGAUUCCCUGUAUUUUGUGUUUAUACAUUCGCACUCUUGUGCGGCGCCUCUUUGCAGUGCCUUUAUCUAGGGGGAUUACUAAUAUGACAACACUCCUGAUUUAUAGAAGCUCAAUUAGGUUAAACAGUUUGAUUCAAUCCCUCGUUGAAUCUGAAUUCUUGCUCUGCAACUAACACAAACUCGCACUCAUUAUUACUUAUGGUGCUUUUCUUUAUGGAUGAAGUGCUUCUCAGCCAAGUAGCGGUAGUCAUCCAGCUGAUGACCAUAAGGAAAACCAAACACUGUCAGUAGAAUAACAUCCUUAGCCAAGUGUUUAUGUUGGAUACAUAUACAAUGCAGAACUGUUCUUAACUAAUGAUGCAAAGUUGGCCUCCCCAAGUCUCUCCUUUUGUAUUAUUCCUUGCCACCCAUGUGUUGAGCUAGAUUUUCUCAGGACCUAAGCCCCACCCUAAAAGUAAGUUCUGCUUCUUUGCAAGCUGGAUUUAUUCUUUCCAGCUUCCAAGUGAACAUCAUACAUCAAAUAACUGUGAGUUAGCUAUAAAUACAAUUGUGAUGUGACUGUUAAUGCAGUUUCCAAAGGUGAUUAAUUUAUGUACACAGGGUAUCUUAAACAAUGAAAUGAUCUGGAUAAUUUGAUAUUUUAAAAUAUUGUCCUUUAUGGCAUUUUGUUUAUAUUUCCUUCGUAAAUCUAUUGGUUCAUUAUAUUCUUAAUAAUGUUUUUUUUUUUCUUCUGGAAGGCAGAGAGAACAUCCAAACCUUCCUACUAAGGACUUUAUUUUCUUUCUUCCCCUUACUCCAACUUUCCGUGUUUUGAUUACUCUCUAACCUACAAUCUGGAAGUUUCUCCUCAGUUGGCUGAAAUAAUGUUUUGCUGGCAUUCUUCUAACCAGAUAUCCCCUUGAUAUGUUUUAUACCAAGCUGAAAGAUCUGGCAAACUGCUGAAACAGGGAACGAGGCAUUGGCACACGAGGAGCAAGGGAAGACAGACCAGGUACAACCUAGUGCUGUCUCCGAACAUGGCUUUCAUGGCAGAGAGAGGCCACAUGAGUCAGUACAGAGAUCGCAAGAAACUAAGAGGCACAGGUUGAUAAAGCAGCUUAACACAGGCCACAGGCAGGGAAAGAACAUCUGCGGGAACCACAUGGAGACUGUCCAAGUCAAUAGGACACCAUCAGUAGGGCCUUCCCUACACAUGACCGAAGUAGCAUGCCCCUCAGUAGAGGUCUUCUACCUCUGCACCUUAAUGACUGUCUGGGAAGCCCCCUUCUAAAGGAGCUAAUGUGUAUUCAGUCCUUGCCUUGUUCUACUGAAGUGCAUUAUCUUAUUUUUCAUGAAAACAUUGUGAGACAGGUACUAUUAUUAUUCCCAUUUUAGAGACGAAAAACCUGAGGCUCAGGGAGGUUGCCCAGUGACAUAGUGAAAAUGCUGUGCCAAGAUUUAAACCCGGCUCACCUGAGUUUAGAAUCUGAACGCUUCUUAUCCCGCUGCCUAUCUGUCCUCUUCAGUUUGUUUGGUUUCUCUGUUUGCUAUUCUUUUUCCUCAGUCGCCGCUCUCUUUAGUUCCCAAUCAGAUAUCCCUUGUCUCUAGACCCAGAGCUGGGAGCCAGCCUGUCCCCUUUCUUCCCCUGGUCCCAGCUCACUUAACCCCAGCCUGGGUUGGAGCCCCAGGCCCCUUGCUUUCCUGGCAGGAGAAUAAAGAUAGCUGGCAGUGAGAAAAGUCUGUGAAGGAGCAUAUGAGCAGUCGUGGUUAUGGCUUUGCUGUGUGAGAACUCGCUCUGUCAGGGAGAUGCAUGGGCUUCCCACACUUGCUGCAUGGACAGAUGUUUUCAAUUAUUAUCACUGACAAGCCUCCGGGCCAGGUUCUUUUCUGAUUGGCUGUCACUGGACUGUGAGGGGAAUAAAGGAAACUGAGGCUAGGACGCAAAACACCUCAGUCAUCACUUUAAUCAUGUUUCUCCAAAGCAACUGGUUGAGUUGGACAGUUCACCUCAGAUUGGAAUAGUUUUGUAAACACAGACUCAAUUUCCUUUUAAACCUUUCUUUCAUUCUGGUUUCAAUUUUUCUGCCCAAAUUUCUUCUGACAUAAGAGGGAGACAUUUGUCAUUUCUUUACUGAUUCUUUCCUUUUGUUGGUUUUCCAGUGUUUUGGGUACGUACCAGGAUGUAGUAGGAGUUCUGACUUGAAGAAAUUUAACUUGAUAUUAUUAGACUUCUAGACUUGGCAUUGCACGGUCUUCCACAAAAAUGACCUAUGUCUGAUCUGGAAGCACCGAUAUCCUGUGUUUCCAUCUGCAGUCACGUGGGAAAUGUCUCACCCUAAGUCAGAAGCCACUUCUCAUUUCAGGUUUGCACCAACCAUGGAGUCAUUUGACAUAGCUCUGUGCAUGACUAGAAUUGUUGUCUACCUUCCUAGCUUGUGAUCAGAUCUGCUAUAAUUAGUGUGAUUUCCUUUUUUUAUUGCCUCUGGUGUGUCCUAAGGAGAUCCAAAGACCAGUUGGUCCCAGGGGAAAUCUGACAAAUCAUGGGCAUGGUCAAUAAUAAAAAAGAAUAUAGACCUGGCUCUCAGAAGUCUUCCUGAUAACUGAUAACUGUCUCCUCUAUGUAGCUUCUUCUUUAAUGGGAUCAAUUAUAUUUGGUACCAAUCAGUUUCUAGCUGCUUAUUGUUUUUUCUUCCCUUCCUUUUUCUAUAACUUAGAAGGGAAAAUAAGAUCAUCAGGUGGAUUAAAGCUUUCUGAGUUCAUUUUUAUUUCUCUUUCUUCAUGUCAUAUAUCUGGUUGGAAAAAAAAUGUAUUCAAGAUGCUCCGGCAUUUCUGUGUAUUAGUUUUAUGUCCUUUUGAUGUCCUGAAAUUUGGUUUGUGUGUGGUCCAUCUUGCUCAAGUCUCCAGGCUGCCUGGUCUCUGCUGCCAUUUUAAAACAAUAGCAGCAGACAUGCAAGUCUCCAAAUGUAUUCGGUAAAGCAGAUACAAUUCAUAGUCUUAAUUCUUGAAGGCCCAAGUCUCCAUUUCAAUUUCUGAAAAAUGUCUCUUUGACUUUCAAACUAAACUCUUUUAUUUUAAGCUCAAAGAUAAAAUAUUAUAGGAUGUUAAUUCAUCCUUUUCAAAAAAGGCACAUGAGGGUUAAAACAUAUGCUUCCUUCUUCACUCAGAAAAAAAAUUCAUUCCAACCUUUUUGGGGGGAUCACAUAUAGCUCUAAAACAGCUGAAGCUAAAAACAUCAAAGUUGGCAUGACUUCAGUUAUCACUGAAUCAGGAAGAUCAAGCCAAGUUUUUGAAGAAAAUGGUUGAGCAUUUUAAAAAUAAAAGAAGUCAAAAUGCUUUCUCUGAGCAUGCUCAGUGGGAGGUUUUAAAAUAUUUUCUUUAGGUCAGCUUUAUUUUGCUCAUUUCUUUGGAAAUAUUUCAACAAAAGCCAUCUAAUUAGUCCUUAAUAACAUUGUUCACUAAUGCCCUAGCCAAGGCCCAAGUGUCUGUCAUCUGCCAAGGUGAUGUUUUCACCGUGUUUGCCAAGGGACCACUACUGGGCAAUGCGGGUGAGUUGCUUUGGUCCUUUUAUAUUUUUGUCAUUGUUUGGUUCAGUGAUUUUGGGUGGGACAAGAAUGGAGGAGGGAGAUGAGUGACAGGAUGUGAAGUAGUUUUAUAGCAAUACAGUACAUUGAAUAUAGCUGCUAAAUCCUCGCCUUUCUUUUUCUUUUUUUUCAAUUAACCACAGCUUCAAUAUUUCUGGAAAAAAAUGGAUGGGAUGGUAUUAGCAUUUGCAAAACAAAAGGCAGUGUAAAUCCAUGCUCAAACACAUAAAUAUGGCCCUCAAACUGGAAGCUGAGUAGAUCCUGUGUUUCUCAUUUCCUGAGAGAAUUUCAUUGUCUUUUAAGGCACUAAAUAGCUCUGUGCUACUGACAGUUUUGGGGCCCACAUUUAUUCUGCAAUAAGACAGCAAACUGCCCCUGCUGUACCUGGGACUACAUCAACUGACAGACCUGGCGGAUCUCGUUGACACUGCGCUUGUUAGCACCACCGCUGACACUGUUUUGAUGUAAAUUUCUCAAACAGUAUCAACAGCCUGGUGAGAAUAUUGCUUCUUAUUGCAGAGCUCUUUUAUGAGUUUUUACACUGCAAUUUCAGGAAUUUCUUUCCUAGAGUUCUCUGUGAAAAUUUCCAGUAGCAUUUUUCAAUUGAGGAAAUAUUUUGCAUGUGUAAUGGCUCAAGGGAAUUGCCUUGCUGGAGAUACUACAUUUCUACCUGUCACAGAAAGUCAAGAGGUAGAUUCUGAUGUAUCUGUUGUUCCUAAUAUGCAGACAGACAGUGGUAGCCACAAGGGUCAGGACAUAUACAUAUAGCCCAGUAGAUUCUCUGCAGAUUGGUUUAGAUCUAUCAAUCCUUGCCUAAGCUAAUAAGAGAUAUAAUUAUGCUCAUCUUGUAGAUUCAUGUAUAUGAGGGAAAAUGCUAUUUUAAUAUCUGACAGCAAAAUUCCUCCUAGUGGAGAAAAUCAUUUUUUUUUCUGUUUUGCUUAGCAAAACAUUUUGAUGGACCAUUUUGGUUGUAGAAACAUAAUCUCUCAAACACAGCCAGAAAAAAAGAGAACCAAAUUCUCUGCAUAAAACACAAAAAUGGACUUAUGAGAGCUGUGUGCAAAAAGAGAGAUUAUGAAAGUAGAGUGUUGGGGCAGAAUGACAUGGUGGGAAGUUGGAGACCAAAUGGAAAUGACAAUCUAUGAAAAUUCCUUAGUUGGGGGUGUGGGGAGAAUGAUCAAGGUGCAUUUUAGUAACAGGGGCACCUAUUAUUUAAGUUUACAUAGUUUGCAUUUUAAAUUAUCAGCUAGGCUGGGUGUGAUGUGAUCUCUCUAUCCUCUGUCAAUCUUCAGUAAAAGUCAGCUGAAUGCUAUGGCCUAGAGUGAGCCUUGGAAAACAAUGAAAAGGAAUUGUCAAGAUAAGAGAACAUUGGCCAAUGGGAAGGCAUGAGUGAGUUGUGGGUUCAAGGGUAGCAGGAAAUCAGACCAGAAAUACCUCAAGAAAAUAUCAACCCUUUCUGAUAACCUGAAAGAUACUGGGGUUCUAAUUUUAGAAGAGUUGGAGCUUUGAGCAAAUUUUAAUUUUAAGUGGAAUGAUGAUGCAAAAUUCCCAAGGACUCUGGGCGCUAUUUCUUGCCUGCUUCAGCUGUACUCAAGUUUCUUAUAAGAGCCUAUGGACCUUGCCAGCUCACAGGAUUGUGAUUCCAGGAUGCAGCAGGACUGAGCUGUAUGUGGCCAGUUUUCCCAAACGGCCUUUCUGCUUGUGAUAUUGAUUCUUGGUUUUACUUUUCAUUUCCCAUGAGGACCAGAAUCUAGCUUUGAACCCCAGCAGGAUUGCUAGGGAGCUUGAUUCCCUCUUGUCGUUUUUGCUAUCUUCUUCUUCUAAGGCUGCUGUCUUUUUCUGGUCUCCCAAGUAUACUUCACCUGCGAUCACUGUUUGCCCCUAAGCACAGGUCACAGAGCCUUCCAAGAUCGAGUGUGCAUGCAGUUGGGCUCUCUUAGCCUCAUCACUGGGUCAGUCUUCUCUGCUUAAAAACCAGCAGCUGGUUCUAUUGUCCAUAAGGUAAAAUCUCAGCUCCAUAAUAGGACACAUUAUUCCUUUGAUAACCUGGUUCCGGCCUCUCUGUCCAGUGACCUUCAUUCAAAAUGAUCCAUGAUCAUUCACCAGAAUAUUCCUUUUUCUCCCAAUUGAGGAGACCUGACCAUGUUUUCGUUAUGGCUGUUUGAAUCAUGGGUGGAGGCUUGAACCAAGGAAUGGGACCAACCAGAGUGCCUUUUGUUGGCGUUAAGGACAUUUAACCUGGCGUUAAGGACAUUUAACCUGGCGUUAAGGACAUAUCAGUCUGUGUAAUUGCUGGUGAAUAUAAGUUCUUUACAAAGCAAAGCAUGUGAUUUGCGGAUUUUAGAGCUCAGUCAAUUCAUGGAUUAAGAAAAGAAAUAGAAACAAGUAAAAAUGAUGCUUUUGCUCACAAAUCUUCUUCUCACCAAAAGUAAUUAUUAAACUUUAAAUUGUUAUUAACACCAAAAAUGCUUGACAUUAUCGUGACUAUAGAGAACCUAUCUCACAUAAAUAAUGAUUAUCAGUUAGUCUCCAUGAUGUUCGAAGAGAGGCCCGGAAGUUGUUCAAGUCAAAGGAAUUGAUCUGGCUCAAGUCAGCUUUAACCAGUCAACCAACCUAUACAAUAUUGGUAUCUGCUGGGAUGGCCAGUGAUUACUUGGGAAAAAUCCAAAUGUUCAAAUCCACAGUUGAGGAUUGAAAUGUGCCUUUAUUGGUAAGAACGCUAAAUGACUCCACAGACUACUAGUGAAAGGCAUAUUCCUUCUGGAUUUGACGAGUUCUAUAUGAUAGCUUAUUUGCUACUCUGAUAAAAAAAAAUUUUAACUUCCUGAGGCACAGAUUGAGCUGUUUCUAAGGCUUGUCUCAGCAGAAGUACCUUAUAAAUAAGAACUUCAAUAGAUUUCAUCUGCUAGUGAAUAUUAUUUAAAACUGAAAAUGGCAUCAUGAAUCCCCCACCAAAGCCCAAGUUAAAAAAUAUAUAUAUGCUGCCAAUGCUUCUCAGGUUUGUGGUGCUCUGAUUCUGAGGAUUGCAAUGCAGUAAGCGAACAGGUUUCAACUUUGGGAGGCUGAGAUGGGCAGAUCACCUGAGGUCAGGAGUUUGAGACCAACCUGACCGACAUGGUGAAACCCCGGCUCUAUUAAAAAUACAAAAAUUUAGCCGGGUGUGGUGGUGCAUGCCUGUAAUUCCAGCUACUCAGAAGGCUGAGGCAGGAGAAUCACUUGAACCCAGGAGGCGGAGGUUGCAGUGAGCCGAGAUCGUGCCAUUGCACUCCAGCCUGGGCAACAAGAGUGAAAACUCCAUCUCAAAAAAUAAAUAAAUAAAUAAAUAAAUAAAAUAAAUAGGUUUCAAAAGUUUUCAUGAGAUUACCAUUAGGGAUGGGAAGAAUGGUUCCUUAUGUUCAUGCAUUUGGCCAGUCAGAAAGCCAGAGGACAUUAAAUAAGCAUGUUCGAAUCUUUUUGGUUCUACUCAAUUGAUAGUAUCAUUUUCAUGUGCGAGACAUGUUUCUAUCAUUUUCUUCUUAGGAAUGAAUUUAAAACCUAUUGUUUAUGACUGGCAGAAGAAAUGUACAAAGGGCAGUGCCCAGCAUUCAUCCUCAUGUUCUACAUUUUCUGUUUACAUUGCUUUCUCUGCCCAAUACAUGGUUAUGACUAUAGAAUAACAAAACAAUUCUAUAAGGUAUGUUUACAAUUCUAGUAAUAAAGCUUUCUGCAUAUCAGCUACUGAAGGAUGUUUAGAAAAUGCAUAAAUAGGUCAAAUGUGAGACAAAGUUUUAAGAACCAGGAGCAUUCAUGUAAAUGAAGAGAAUGCAGGAGACUGCUGCAAUGCAGUAGAAACUCUCUUGGCUGACUCCCACUUAAUCAGCUCUCUAUCUCCUCCGUAAAACAUACUGACCAAUGCCCACAACAUAUUCAAUGUUCCCGGCUAGUUAAUGACUCUCAACUGCGCACAUCUGUUCCCACUAGAGGAAAGUCCCAGGAGAGAGUCCCAAACAAGUUUAUGCCAGUUGUACUUAUUAUUGUAAUUAUGUAAUUUAAUUAAAUAUUAUGUAAACUGAUGAAAUAUGAGCACAAAAGGAAGAGAGUUGCUUUGCAAACACUUUCUUUGGAGAGAAAAAUAUUCCAUUAUGUCUAAAAUUACUAAAGUGUUUUCUCUGAGGGUAGGGAUAGAUCUGGGUGAACUCUCAAGGCCUUUUCCAAAUUUAUCAUGAUAGAUGUUGGUUGGGUUUUGAAAUGUUGCUUUCUUUUAGAUCUAGUCCUUCAUUCUAUUUCAUAUGACAAUAGCUUCCAGCUAUCAUUUCCUGAUGGCUUACUGUGUGCCAGGCAUUGUGUAAAGCAAUUUGCUUGCAUUAUCUCAUUUGAUUUACAGAGUAGUAACUGUUAAUUUUUGAAAACUUAUGUGCUUGGCUCUAUGCUGGACACCUAAUAUAUAUUACCCACUUAAUUCUUAUAAUAAUUUGUAGAUAUGAAAACUGAAGCUUAGAAGAAAUGAGAAAUUUGUCUACAUUCUACACUUUGUCUAUAACUGUACACUCUACACUUUGUGUAAGUAAAAGAGCUGGGAUUGGAACCCUACUCUAUUUAAUUCCAAAGCCUUAUCUCCUAUCACUGUACUCUACUGUCUCCACAUA